AUGGAUAUCGAAGCCAACCCCUCCCUUAAGGCCUUUUGGAAAGGCAAUGAUGAGCCGGACCCGGAUGAGCUUGACAUGGUGUUUGAGAGUAGUCCUAGCUAUGCGGAGCUCUUGGAACAAGUGAGGAAGGAUUUGAAUUGGAUGGACCCAAGUGACGUUGUUGAUUUCGAGGGGAGGCAUAAUGUUGGUUUUGGAAUGCACAUUCGUUGGAAGACAAUGCGUGUGAACUCCGAGCAACGUUGGGUUGCAUACAAGGAGACGGUUGCCGAAUCUCUAGACAAGGCUCUUGAGUUAUUUGCCUCCAAGAAAGUUGAGUCUACUUUGAAUUUGGACUUGAACCGGAACCCCUCCCCGUUGGUUGCUAGUACUCCCCCACCCAUGAACCAAGAUCAAAUGAGUGAACCUCAUUUCACGCAACAAGAUUGGCCAACAUUGAGCCCGAUUCCAAACAACCAAAAUGAAGCUUUUGAAGAGGAGAAUGAUGAGUACGAGGAGGAUGACAACGAAGUUGAUCUCCAUGACAACAAUUGCCAAGAUGUCCAUGGAUUGUGCGUGCAAGGCCAUGGAAAGGAGGUCCCACUUGGCGCAUAGUUAUCCAACCAAAUAUCCACACUUCCAAGAAUGAGCAUCAAGAGUGUCAUUGACCGUGUGAAAGCCAUCUUUCAUUACAAGGUGAAGUAUGGCAAGGCAUGGAAGGCGAAGCAAGCCACAUUCAAGAUGUUGUAUGGAAAUUGGGAGGAAGCAUACAACCGUCUCCCUAGGUUGUUGUUAGCUAUGGCUACCACAAACCCAUGCACGGUUCACGUGGUUGAGCCUCAUGGGCACCAAACAUUGAUUCAGAACGGGAGGACCGUCCGAGUAUUUGGCCGUGCAUUUUGGGCCUUUGAGCAAUGCGUGAGGGCUUUUGAGCAUUGUCGGCCCGUCAUCGCCAUUGAUGGCAUGUUCUUGACCGGACAAUACAAGGGCACUUUAUUGGUUGCAAUAGCAAGUGAUGCCAAUAACCGGGUGUUGCCUUUGGCUUUCGCUUUGGUUGAGGUGGAGAACAAUGAUAACUGGGAGUGGUUCUUCCGUCAAUUGAGAACAGGGGUAUUACCAGCUGAAAGGGAAAUUUGUGUCAUAUCGGAUCGCCAUCCGGGAAUUCUAAAUGCGGUGGUGGUUGACAUUCCCGGACAUACAAAGUUGCACCAUCGAUGGUGCAUGAGGCACUUUUGUGCAAACUUCUAUAGGGCAUGUGGUAUCAAGGAGUUGGCCGAUGAUCUUCAAGAUUGUUGUCUCGCUUUCUCCAACAAGCGGUUUGCCACAUUGUUCAAUGCAUUUCUCAGACACAAGAAACUUGACCCUGGUGGUAUUGAAUUUCUCAAUAGGAACAUUGUCAAAAGGAAUAUGUGGGCACGUACUUUCGAUGAAGAUGGCCGGAGGUAUGGUCAAAUGACAAGCAAUAUGGCAGAAUGCUUCAAUAAGGUGCUCAAGGGUAUACGUGCAUUACCCGUGACGGCAAUAGUUCAAUACACAUUUGACAAGAUGAAUGGAUACUUUUUAAAGUACUCAAUGGAGACGGAUAAGCAGAUUGCUGGUGAGAACAAGGAAAAGCACAAGUACAAUUUCCCACCAAAGAUUGAAGAAUGGUUGGAAUUUCAAUCACGAAAGGCAGACUCCCAAGAAGCUGUACUAUAUGAAGACAACGAUUGGAAGUAUGAAGUGAAAGAGCCUGGAGGAACCACAAACGAUGGCCACCAACACGGAGGCCGGGCUUUCAAGGUCUCCCUAACACGGUGUGAUUGCACUUGCAUGAGGCCAUCCUUGCUUCAUCUCCCAUGCUCGCACUUGUUAAACGCAUCUCGUGUUAGGAAUGUGGACGUCAAUCACCCUCUUACCGUGCGGGAGUCCAAGUUCUCAAUCAUGACUGUCAAGAAUACAUGGGCUCCCCGGUUUCAGCCAUACUUGGAUCAAUCACAAUGGCCGGAGUAUCAUGGAGUUCAACUAUGGCCGGACCCAGAAUUGAAGGUCGUUAGAUGGGGAAGACGUCAGACAAAGCGUCUUAGAGGUGACAUGGAUGGAUGGGGCCGUGGUGGCGGUCGACAAUACGGCACCGGCCAAUUCCAAGAGCCUCGUAUGGCAAAAAUGAAGGGGGUGGAGGACACGGAGGGGGAGGUGAGAUGCCGGGGUGGUGGGAGCCGGAAGAAGAAGAAGAAGAAGAAGAAGAAGAAGAAGAAGAAGAAGAAGAAGAAGAAGAAGAGAGGACCUUGCUCGACACAAAAUUCACCGCCUCCUCUAUGCAAGUACUUCACGUGGAUACAUCAUGAAGUGCCAGAAGAUGUCCAAAAGGACCAAUAUCAAGAUUGUCUUAGGCGCCAGCGACGGUUCAAAGAAUCGUUUCGAAGAGGCUUGGAGGAAGAGCAACGUCAAAAGGAGAGGAUGGAGCGGAAGAAACGAGAGGAGGAGAGGGCACGCCAAGCGAAACUUGCUCGUGAGGAGGAGAGGGCAAGAAAGCGUGCAAAGGCUCGCGAGGCGCAAGAGGAGGACGAGGCACGUGACAGGAAGGGGAAAUGGCCUCGCUUGACUCAGUAG
rnacentral:rRNA from 1 species